GAAGAAUGGCUCUUUUGGCAGAGGAGCAACGUGUUAAGGCUAAGAAGGAGAAACUCGACAAGAAGAGGAAUUUGACUACAAAGGAGGAGGCUACUGCAAUCAGAGCUGCAGGAAAGGCUUGGUAUCAGACGAUGAUCUCAGACAGUGAUUACACCGAGUUCGAGAACUUCUCGAAAUGGCUUGGAGUUUCUCAGUAAUUUCGUUUUUCUUCAUUUAAAAUCUCAUAGACCUCAUUACUUUUGUUAAUCUAUUUUGUUAAGGAGUUGUUAUUCCUCUUUAUUGUUUUUUGCGUUUAUGAAGGGAAGUAAUUUGGGAGAAGGAGCGAAAUAACAUAGAUAAUUAACUUUGGCCUUUUG
rnacentral:misc_RNA from 1 species